rnacentral:tRNA from 1 species
CUGGUCUGGGACGGAAGAUUCGAACCUCCGAAUAGCGGACCAAACCCGAUGCCUUACCUUGGGCCACGCCAAA